AGACAGGUGGACAGAAAGACCACGGGU
rnacentral:piRNA from 1 species